UGGAGUGCACAGGCUAAUCUGAAUUCCCCAGAUAAGCCUCCACAGCUCAAGCGGCAGAGUGGGGAAUCAAACUCAGUUCCUCCAGAUUAGAGUACACCUGCUCUUAACCACUGCGCCAUUGCUGCAUAGAGUGGAUCUGUCACCCUGUGUGGAAAGCUAGGGAAGUGUGCAAUGUUGCUGCUUUUGAUGCAGGCACAACGCCAGCUUCUGUUAAUUAUAAUUAAAAAAUCAGGGUCAUGCCUCUGUAGCUCUCUGUCCGUCCCCUCCAACCCCACGCCCCCUGGCCGCACAAGCCCAGCAAAUUUUUCCCCUUCACCAUGAUUUUUAAGCAGUUAAUCAGCACUGGCAAUGAGGUGUUCUGUUUUUCUGGAACUUUUCCUUGAUACAUUUUUUAGAUAUUGAGCUAAGGAUAACUCUGGUUACAUGGAGUUCACAUUAGUGCUGGGAAAAUGUUUAAGAAGGGAGUGGGAAAUUUCUUUAAGGAGGAGCUGUGCACAUGUGUCUUAGAGGCUGGUUUCUGAGAUGUUACCCAGGGAGCCGAUGUUAUAUUGACCCCAGACCCCAGAUGUGUGGAUAUUUUGGUGCCGUUUGGAAGAAACCCUGAGCAUAUUCUUCCAUUUGUCCCUUCUAAGGUUUGCCUUCCUUCCUCCCUGACCUGUUCCUAGGCCAGUGUCAUAUUAGCUGGCUUUAGCUGUCACUUGAGUAUGGUAGACUGAGACAGGUGGCUUGGGAGGUGCUCCCAGAAGCCUGUCUAGCCACCACUAUUCACUCACCUGGAGGACUUUCAUUCACAUGGAGACUUUCUAGAGCAGGAAACAGUUGCACAGUAGACCUACAGCUGGGGAGACUGUCCAGGACACGCCUCCGCGUAAUCGAAGGGCACAGUGAUUGGCCGUGUCUUAAGAUCCAUGAUCUACAUCAAUUACCGAUAGAAAAGAAAACUAAAGAGCAGAUUGAAACAGUUGAAUACAACCUUAUGGGGCGUCAAGUGUGAGAUUACACAUUUGGCUGCUCCACCACACCGAAAAGUAUCCUGCAUUUAGAAAGCUGGCAGGUCAGAGAGAAGAGUAGGUGGGAUCUCAUAGGUGCUAGUUCUCUGUGUACAGGCUAGGUGCUCCUGCCACGUGGUAGUCAUUGAAUCCAGUAGCCUUUUGCCUGUUCUGCCCUGUGGCUGCGAUUUUGCUUUUUUUCCAUUGUUUGUGUGAAUUUGCACAGAUAAAAAAUGCCUAACUACCUGUUCUUCAAGGGAUCCCGUCUGCUUCUUGGGGAUCUUUUUUUUUUUUCCUGUAGCAGUAAAAGUUAAUCAUUAAGUGAAGCAAUACUUUCAGUUAAUGACGCACAGUAGCAGGGUGUAUGAUCUGGCUUGAGGCAAGAACCUGGGCUUGCAGAAGUGUGUAGAUGCUAGUUUUUGUUUUGAAAACCGAGCAUGUUCCUAGUUCUCGUGGGUACAAGGAGAAUUAGUAAAAGGUGGUUGUGGUCUCCUCAUUGAGAUUAAAAGGGGAUGGGUCUAGGACAGGGGUCUGCAAUCUGCGGCUCUCCAGAUGUUCAUGGACUACAAUUCCCAUCAGCCCCCACCACCGCCGCAGGUUGCAGACCCCUGGUCUAGGAAUAGCCUAAAGGGAGAAUUUAUUGCCCUGUCCUUCCUAUGCUGUUUUCUAGAUCUAAAUUCCCCAAGGUCGUCUACACCAAAAUCUGCUAUAAGUGUUGCAGCAAAUUAUUUGGGUAAGCAUGAUGUUCCAUACAGAGAGAGUGUGUGUAAGUAUGCGUACACAUACAUAUACACAUACUAUUCAUAUUCCACCAGGACUACUAUCAGCUUGGGAGGGGUAGAUCAGGAAAAAUAAAUCCUACAAAAUAGGUGUGAUACAGGUCCUUACAUUUUUUUUUCCUGAAAGAAAAUGGGGCUAGUUUGCUGCAGUCAAAGCCACAAAGUAUCUUGCGGCCCUGAUGAGCAUAUGUGUUGUGGCGCAAGGGUUCCAUGUGCCAGAGCCCACAUUGUCAGGUGCGUGAAGAGCUGUAUUGCAGUUGGCAGCGAGAGCCAAAGAAUGCUGGGAAACUGGCCUUCUAUACUCUCUUUGCAAUACCCCGCACAUACGCCAUUCUGCUUUUUGUAGCUCUAGAUGCGUCUAUGUAUUGUCCCCUAGCUAUAACAGUCCAUGCAUUUGACCAAUCAGACUCCGGCUCAUGAAUGCUUCUGCUGCAAUAAUUUGGUUAGCCUUUGAGGUACCAUAAGAUUCUCCAUCGCUUUGCUUAUUCAAUAAGUUUUUAUCCUCCUGCUUCUAGCUUUCACAGGCUCUCGGGGCAUAAACCUUGUUAAACAAACCCACUGAAACACAUAAAAACCUGAUAACAAAACAACCACAAGAGCAUUCGGGUGGCAAAACAGCCGCCGAAAAACAUCAGCGCAGAGGCCUGAGAGAACCAAAUUGAUGAUGAUAAUAUGUCUGUCUCUUUACGAAGGGGCAGCAGUAAUUAAAAAUAAAUUGAGGGAAAAUUAACUUUUUCAUCUGGAUCCUAACCAGGUUAAUCUCUGGUGCGGUUGCUCGCUCCUUGCCUGCUUCAAGAGUUUAAUAAAUUACUGAUUCUGGCUCAUCCAGUUUGCAUCUGUUUCAGCCUCUGGUUACAACCAAAUAGCUUCCUUUGGGAUGAUGAGCUGCUCAUUCCUCUGUGCAUUGGUCAGCUCAGAUAUUCCCACUUGAGUUCAAUGAGUUAUUUGUUCCACAGUAAGUCUGCUUAGCAGCUCCGUCCGAGCCAUGCCUAAUUUUUGCUGGAUUGUGUCCCUUGACUGUUAUUCUAGUGGGGUUUUGUACUUUCAAUGAUUCCGUACUGUUGGGCUGUGGGUUUUAUCCUCUUGUGAGUCUCAAAGUUUAAAUUACCACCAAGUGUCUUAAACUCGAUUGUAUUGCCAUUGUUUUUAAAUGCUAUAAAGUAAUAAUGUAUUGAUUUUUUUUUCUGUUUGUUUGUGCGUGCGUGUGUGUUUUCAAAUGUAGCCUGUAAAGAAAAGAAUCAAGGUAUGAAUAUAAUGGCAAAAAAAAGUUCUUAAAAAUUCUGUAGACCACAGCUGUAAAAUGGACUGUAGGUUCUUUGGGGUUUUUUCCUUCCUUGAUAUGUAAUAAAUAUUUAUGACAUUUAA